ACCAUUUCUUUCCGAUCAUACUCUUUUCAAACCCAUGCUCCGUACUGUCAAGGUUGGCGCUCUCCGAUCACUGCGAGUACUUCGAGGCCCUUACUCCGUCCUCCAUUGGAGCUGCUGCUUCUGCACCUCCUCCUCAAUCCAAUCCAUAUGUCUGUUCAUCCAGCUCUACUUCCCGCUCCUUCCGCGGCAUCGUCCUUCAAGCGUUUUUCGAUUGAUCAGAAAAGAUGGAUUCAAUUUGAAUGAUUGAGAUAUGACGAAUGAAGGCGGCCGAGGCGAUCAAGACGACUGAGGAUCUUGCGAGGAAUGUGUAAUGUUGUAUCAUUCCGAUUCCUUGAUUUUCUGUUUGUUUUUUAACGUACAUUUUAGUGUAUUGUUUUUCCGUCUAUCAAUUACGUUACGAGGAGUAGCAUUGCGCGGAAAUUUUCCAUUUCGCGAAGCUGCGUCACGACAUUGUCUUGAAAAUUUUCUUUCGUUUGUCAAUGUUUCCGGUUAUGGUCCGUUGAUGUAGUAUCAUUAGUGAAACAGUAUACAGUCCGAGUUAGCAGUGUGUUAGAACCACUACUUUCAUAUUUUCGAACUCUGUUUCACGAUUAUUUCCUUUUCCUUUUUGUUUGACCAUUGAACACAGGGCACAGUGUUGCUAAUGACGCCGUGCGAAGAAUUACAGGAGGAGCUGAAGUUCUCACUAACGCUGGUUGCGGGAAAUUCUUCCGGUGGACUUGCGAGAAUGUAUCAGAACAGAAGCUAAUGAUGGCUUCUAAACGUGACCUGUUUGCAUCUGCUGGCCAGCUAUGAGAACACAAGAUCGUCAUAUGCAAAACUUGCAUUGUGUGGUGGCGAUAAGUCUCUCUUGUAUGAAAAUGGCGAGCGUCUUGGGGCUUUUACGAGGGGCAUGGAGUGGAACAAAAUACUAGACGAUGAACUGAGAUAUAAUUUUUCUUUUGGACAAAAUAAGCUCUCAUUGAUACCCAUAAUGUAAAAAAAUGCUAAUCACAGUUUUAGGGUCCCAGGCCAAUGAAGCAUGGUGCAGAGCGGACGACUAUACUGAAGUUGUAGUCGCAUGGCAUACGGGAGUUGGAAGCAUACUGAGAGUACGCCUCUGCAUGGAAAACAAUAUUAGAUGAUUCCCCACUUUCUAUUUUCAAGAUUCAGUGGCUCACCCUCUUCAUGGAGGCGAAUGUAUCAUAUGCGCUGCUGUAAGUUGUUAAAACGCAGGUCAUGCAGAUUGAAAAAGAAACGAAUAGAUUCAUAUUACAUUGAAGACGUAAAGGUGGAUGGAUUGGGAAACGACAGCAGCAUUGCUCCAAUUAGUGACUUCACAAAUUAGCGCAUAAAGGAGAAUCACUUCUUUAGAUGGGAUGGAAUGGAAACAGCUUCUUGCCAUCGUGGAAUUCCUCCAUGGAAGGUCAAGGAAUCCACGAGGGGCUUACAGUAUGGCUUCUCUAUUACGGCAGAGUCGGCGCUGAUUGUUCUCUAUUGCAGCCAACACAU